UAUUACAAAGAUAAAGAAGGACUUUUCUUAACGAAAAAUGAUUCAUCCAUGUAAGUGUAUGUUUUUAAUAACAACUUCAAAAUAGCUGAAGCAAAAAUGGUCUCAAAUAAAUUGAGAAACAUGUAAGUUUUCCAUUAUGGUUGUGCCACAUGUUAUUUAAUCUAUUCCUGAUUGAUGGACAUUUAAUUUGUUUCUGAUUUUUUUUUUACUAUUGCCACAAUGAAUAUAUUUGUGCAUGUGUACAUAUAUCUAUAUCUAUAUCUAUCUAUACUUAUGUAGUAGUGUCUACUUAGGAAAGAUUCCUAGAAUGGAUUUGCUGGGUCAAAGGUCAUUGUGUCAUUUGAUUAACAUUUUAUCAAAAUCGUAUUUUGAUUCAGUACAGCCAAAUUCUUCUUCUAAAAGACUUCAUCAAUUUACCCUCCUACCAACAGUGUAUGAGUGUACAUUUCUUUUGUUGUUGUUCUAACACUGUUUUCCCAUCGCUCCUCGGCUAGAAAUCAAAAUUUCUCGCAUGCAUUCAAAGCCCCACAGUCUGGCCCCUCCUUAUGUCGCCAGGCCCUCCAGUGCUCCUACUCCCCUCUACUCUCGUCUCCAGCCCCAGUGACAUUUCAGUCUCUAUUGAUUUGCUCCAGGACCUUUGCUCUGAGAAAUGCGUCAUUAGCCAACUUCAUCGUUGUAUAAACAUUGAGUGUAUUUACAGAAACCUAGAUGGUAUAGUCAACUACACAUCUAGGCUAUAUGGUAGAGCAUAGUGCUCCUAGGCUAGAAAACUGCAUGUUACUGUACUGAAUGCUAUAGGUGAUUGUAACACAAUGGUAAGUAUUUGUGUAUCUAAACAUGAAAAAGGUAAAAUAAAAAUAUGAUAAAAUAACCUUACGGGGCCACUGUAGUAUGUGCAGUCUGUUUUUGACUGGAACGUUAUUAAGCAGCACAUGACUAUAUGUCCUAAGCUUAUGGCCUUCUAUAAGUGUUACUUAGUCUUUCUACAUCUGUUCCUUUUUUUCUUUCUUUUUUUUUUUUUUUUUUUUGUGAAAUGAGAAUUUAAAAAAAUCAACUUGAAAGUGUUGGCCAGGCUCUGUGGCUCACACCUGUAAUCCCAGCACUUUGGGAGGAAGAGGCAGGAGGAUUGCUUGAGCCAAGGAGAGCAGAAGUUCAAGACCAGCCUGGGCAACACGGGGAUACCACAUCUCUAUGAAAAGAAAAAGAAAAAGUAGCAGGUCAUAGUAGUGUGAGCUUGCAGUCCCAGCUACUUGAGAGGCUGAGGUGGGAGCAUCACUUGACUAGAAGGUAGGUUACAGUGAGAUGUUAUAGCGCCACUGUACUCCAGCCUGGGUGACAGAGCAAGACUCCAUCUCAAAAAAAAAAAAAAAAAAAAAAAAAUAUAUAUAUAUAUAUAUAUAUAUAUAUAUAUAUAUAUAACCCAUAAAGUGUUGUUGAAAUUUAAAAUAUUAUAUAUAAUAGAUAGACAGGAGUAAUACAGGCACUUAAUAAAAGCUGAAUAUUUUUUAAAAGGUGACAUUUGUUUUACACAAUACACAUUACCUAAACAAACAAUCAUUAAUCUGUGAGCUGCUUCUAUGCUUCUUUCCUUAUCUGCAAAGUGGUUCUCCAAUUUUACCCUUUCAUAGUACCCUGUCCUCCUUCCCAGCACUUACCAUAAUGUUAAUUAAUGUUCUAAUUCUUUUCUAGCCAAACCCUUAGACUUUAACUGUUUUCCCAGGCAAACUCCUGGCUCUGUGAGACCAGUCGCUUAAAAAUGUAGUACUUAUCUGCACUCUCUAACACCACCCGUCUCUUAACCCAUGUUCAAUAAAUGUUGGUGAAAAAAAUCAAAGUCACACUUAUCUUGAGGAGAAUUUAGAGGGGCCAAUGAACUGGCAAAGUGUUUCAUUAUGACAGGAGAAAAAUAGAGCAGUCUACGCUAUAUUAAAAGUAUGCAACAAUUUAUUUUAUUUUAAUCUUUUUUACAUUCCUGGUAACUCACAGAACAAAACAAUUUAUUUGUAUUUGUAUUUACUAAUUUAAGAAAUAGAGAUGGGGUCUCACUAUGUUGCCCAGGCUGGUCUUGAACUCCUGGACUCAAGUGAUCCUCCCACCUCACCCUCCCAAAGUGCUGGGAUUACAGCCAUGAGCCACCGUGCCCAGUCCCCCAUUUUUUUUUAAUUAAAGUUAUGGGGUCUCUUAUCCAGGCUGGAGUGCAGUGGUGUAAUCACAGCUCACAGUGACCUUGAACUUCCAGGCUCAAGCAAUCCUCCCGCCCCAGCCUCCUGAGUAACUAGAGCUACAGGCGUGCCCCAUCACACCUAGCUAAUAUUUAAAAUUUGAAUUAUUUAAAAAUUUUAAUUUUUAUUUAAUUUUUAUAAAAAGAUUUUAUAAAAAGGAGAUUUAUUCUUUAUCUUAUUUUUUGAGACAGGAUCUCAGUCUGUCACCCAGGAUGGAGCACGGUUGCAUGAUGCAUCACCGUGCCUGGCUAAUUUUUAAAAUUUUUUAAGAGAUAGCCUGUUGGUAUAUUACCGAGGCUGGUUUCGAAUUCUUGGCCUUAAGAGAUCCUUCCCCCUUAGGCUCCCAAAAUGCUGAGAUUACGAGUGUGAGCAACCCCACCAGCCCGGCCAGGCAUUCAAAAUUUAUCAGACCCAGAGAGACCUGAGUAUGAGAUGUCAGUUAGCACCAUCCCCAUGUACACUAGCAAUUGUUUAAAGGCACUUUGUUCUUUUCUGCCCUGUACAAGCAUCACCCUUUAUCUUCGUGUUCCCAGAAUCCGUGAUAGAAAGAACAAGUAUAGCCAAUGGAUAGGUUGUUAUUUUAAUGUAAAUUCUUGGAAUACAAUUUAGCAAGGGCCUCUUCUUUUUUUUUCCUUUAAAAAUUCACUUGUAGCCGGGUGCAGUCGCCCACACCUGUAAUCCCAGUACUUUGGGAGGCAGAGAUGGAAGGAUCAAUUCCUUUGAGACAAGAGUUCAAGCUUCCUGGCCAACAAAACAAAGAACUCACUUGAAACUGCUGCUAAGAUCAUGUAUUAAAUUAAGGGUAACUUGAAGUGAUGCUCCCAGUUUGCAUUCUUGAGACUUGGCCCAAAUAAAUUCUCUAUUUAUAUUAACUUUGCCUCCGUUUUUCCUUUAGGUUGACAGUUAUUUCUAAAGUUGUACAGAAGGGUUUACCUUGAGUAUUAAAAUAAGGUGUGAGAAAGGCAACUGAAGCCAGAGGCUCCCAUCACAGCCUUGUGGCCUUCGGAGGCUUCCAAAGGAUCAGCAUUAACUGCAAUAUUUAGGAGGAGUGCAGCUCUUCAAGAUUCAUAAAGUGUUAAAUCUGUUGCCUGGAAUUCCAGAAAGAGGGGGAGGAAGAGCACAGUGUGAACUGUGUUCAACUUCAACCUAAAGGUAAAAGCGAUCAGCCUAAGAUCAGGAGCGCAAGGGAGAAGCUUGAAGCCAUGCGUUCUCACGGAGGCGUUUCCCGCUCCAGGGCUGCCCAGGCCCGCGGGCCAAGCAGCUAGCCGUGCGGGCCGUCGUCACGCCCGCGAUCAGAUCAGCUCCCCGCCACGUGGCACUGGGAAGGCGUCCACCAAGCUCCAGGGAGAAGGAGGCGGAGCCCGGCCUCAAUCUCACCCGUGUCCUCAUGGGAGUUGUAGUUUUCCUUGCGGGCGUAGAGGGCACGAACUCCCGGCUUUUGCCCGAUAAAUAGCAUCUCUUUUGUACGAGUCAUUCAAAUAAUAGACGCAAUCUAGGUAACUUCAAGAGAAGAUGGGAAGGGGAAGGGGCAAAGCAUGGAAGGCAAAUCUAAAGAUUAUGGGCGGGGCAGAGAAAGGUUCGCACUUAGUACGCAUGCGCAUACCAGGCGCGACAGGUGGGCGGACACAGAAGGCGACGCCUAGGGCUGUGUUGUCCCGGAAGUGCCUUCUCUCCUCCCGGGUCUGCGCGGACGCGGCCUCCUUACCUCAUUUGUCCUCGCCCCUCCCCGUCCCUCUACGCGUUUUGGUCCCUGUUUGGUGCUUUCUGUUUGCAGCUACGGCAGUGAGUAUGUAUGUGACGGACCCCGAGUCACCCGCGGCCUGGGACCCCUGCCUACCCUCCGUCUCGCCAGCCGAGCUGUGGAACUAGCGCGUGCCCCCUCGCCGACCUCGGCGUCUCCGGUCCGCCCCUCACUUGUGGUGGGGCGCAGCUCCUGGUCCCUCAGCUGCGCGCCGCCCCACGCGGCCGGGCUGCGGGUCUAGGGGGUCCGCAUCUCCCUGGCUUUCCAAGGGCUAAGGUCGUGAUUCUAGGGCGGCUGGGCGUCCAGGGCCUCGGUGGGGGUGGCGUGUCUGCCCUUUUUAUCUCCCCGCAAGGCCCCCAGUCUUCUAGGGAAGCCAGUCAGUGAAGCGCGGAGGUCCGGGCGCGCCGAGAGA
rnacentral:lncRNA from 1 species